AUAGGGAAAUGGGAAAACAAACAUUUUAAAGGAAUCAGAGAGUGAGUGCAUAAUUUCAAAGCAAAGUCUUCUCUUGAAUGGUGGUAUGCACUACAGUAUGACCUGGAUCAGUUCCAGGGAUGGCAAUAACUGACUUUAUACUAUGCUGCAAUUUAGAAGGGGGACACGAAACAGGAACCAAUACAUGGUUAAUGCAGAAUACUGGUUGCCUAGAGCUACGAGCUCAGGUUGUAGACAACUGGAUCUUUGAAGAUUUAAUAGGUUCUUCGUUCUCUGUCAGUUGGUUCUUUCAGAAUGCCAAGCCUUAGCUCUGUUCUGCCUCAUACCUACAAUACUUAGCUAUGGAUUUUACAUUAAAGAAAUGUAGUUGGAUUUAAGCUAAUGGACAAUAAAGCAUUAGGGUUAGAGGUGCUGAUAUAUGCACAGCUAAACUAGGGUCUGCAAUGAAUUAGCAUUGAAAAUAGAUGGUUUUAUAGUGACACAAGCUGUAUGGCCAGGAUGAUGUUCCUAGAAAGGAAAUGUUUAAAUUGUUAACACUUGCCUAGCAUGUUGGAAUGUGAGAAAUAGCAAGAGCAGAAAAAAAAAGCAAUGUAGACAUGGCUCAAUAGUCAACUUCGAGGUCAUGUUUAGUGCUAAAGGUAAAGUUCUUAUUGAAUUGGGUGUUGGACUGGUGAAUAUACAAUCAACUGUAAAAAAUUCAUGAAUGAGACAGAACGAUUGGCAUUAGAGCAGAUCUGAUGAUCUUUGAAAUGCAUGCCUUACCAAAGAAUGUACUAUUGUUCUGUCUAGACACAGUGACACAGUGUAAUAAAUAAAGACUGACAGCAUCGAUAUGUUUCAUAAAUAUAUAACUGAAAUGUUCAUCAUUUCUAGCCAUUAAUAUUUUCUCAAUUACCUUAGGUAAAGCAGUGUGUCCAUCUUAGAAAAUAAAAUAUACUGAAAAUACCAUUUGCUUCCAGACAAAGAAAUAAUGCCGUUUAUUUCUCAUUUCUCUGAACAUAUUCAUCUUCUUAAGUAAACCCUGGAAGUCUGAACCAGGAGCCAUAGAUAAUUCAUUAGCUUCAGUCCACAAGGCUAUUUUCUUAGAGACUUCUUGUACAUAUAAUAUCCUGCAAAGUUUUUAGAAGAUCGCUUCAAGGGUUUGGGUUUUUAUUUUUUUUCUUGUUCCUCUUCUUCCUUGAAAAAUAAAAUAAACUGUGAUGGAUAGCUUGUGAAGCUAUCAGUCAGCAUCACGGAGCUGAUGUACUUCUUUCUAAACAGUUUCUUUGGGGGAUACGCAUAUUUUUUUGUUCAUGAAGCCAGAACCAGCAGAUGGGAGCUGAUCCGCAGUUGUACCUACAGGACUGUGGUGGGUUGUUUUUUUUUUUUUUUCAGACUCACAUUUCCCAGGGCCAUGAUGCAGUCAAGGAAACUAAAAAUAUAACAUUGGAGAACAAUUAUUCCCUGUCAGGAAAUCUAUAAAUAUUCUGGGAAAGUAAUAUGAGCUACAUAUCCUGUUCCAGGGAAGAGAUGCGCAGAGUUCUCUUAUGUCCUGACUUGCAGUUCUGUGUGACACAGACACACUUCAGUAUCUUUUUAAAUUACUUAAAAAAAGAAAAAAGAAAAACUUGGAAAAGUGCAUAAUUUCUUUGGCUGCGAGAGUCACUAAACACAUGUGAAAAAUAGGACUUCCCUCAUCAUAUCCUGGUACCAUGUCCUUUGGCUGUGCAUUUGCAAGGGCUUGUACUGGAUAGGUGACAGUUAUGCCUGCCUCAUACCUAUGCAGUUUCUCCCCCAAAACCAUGGUCCUAUGAAAACAAACCAAAAUGAAAGGGUGCUCUUCAGCAGGACGGGCUCAAUCUCCACAUCUCCCUUGGGAAGGUUGGGAUGUCAGCUAGCACUGGAGCGAGAGGGUAUUGUGCAGUUGAUGCGCCUCGGCAUGGCUGUGGAUGUGAGCCAGUUUUCCCACUUCUACCAAAUGCCAACUGCUUGAAAUCAGGAACCAUCUUGUCUACCUUUUUGUAUGCAAUUACCAAUAACAGGCCCUGCCACUUGAUGUCACCAAUAUUUCUCUCUAUAAGAAUAAUUUUAUAUUUUAUAAGGUUCAUAUCCAUUACUUAAGAGUCUGUGGAUACAAAUAAAUUAUCAUUUCAAAUAAUGUUUGUUCUUGUUAUGUCAUUUAAAAACUACCUUCUGAAUACCAAAUGUAAUUGCAUUGUCUUUUAUUUAAAUACUGUAGUUUAUAACUCUGAUGAGAUGUGCAUAAAUUAUGAAAAAAUAUUUUAUUGAUUCUAAAAUACAAAGCAAAGGACUCCAACUGUUGAUUUCAAACUUGUGAAUUAAGACUGGGUCCACAAACCACACCAUGAGGAUGCAAGCAGGUUUCUUGUCUGUUCGCAUAAUGAAAUUUUUACUGAAUGCAGCCAUACCACACUUCCAAGUAGUAGAGGGGAUUCAUACUCCCCCCUUACACCUGCAGGCAACCACUGAGCUCAACAAUGCUCUCAUUGUACCCACAGGAUAUUGGUCCUGGAUUACCACUGAACUUGCAUAGGCAGAACAACACAAAGGUUGGUCUACUCAGAAGCUUGGGAGAGCCCCCUAAUUCUGAAGAAAGAGACAGAAAACCUCUGGACUUGCCUGAAUAUGUCUCUGUGAAAAUGCAUCUCUUCUACAUAGAUACUUCUCAAACACAUGUGGCUCUUGGGCUUUGGAAUGUGAUUAGUGACACUAGAGAACUGAACUUCAAUUUAUAUUUCACUUUGAUUAUUUAAAUCCACAUGACCACAUGGCUGGUGGUUAUUAUUUUAAGAGUGUGGUAUAAACUAUGUUAUUGCAAGUCUCACACCUAAUUCUUCAUUUGACUGUCAGACACCGCUUUCAGUACUGAGCAACUGCACUGAGUGUUGUCACUAAAAGAGAUUCAAAGAGGUGUAGAAUCUUUGCAUUUUCAGCAGUGAAUGCUGAUGAAUGGUACUUUCCUGCAACUAUAUCUCCUAUGCUUAGAAACUAGAGAAGCAGAUGCUAGCUUAGAAGAACCGAAAUGGUGGCAUACUGCACUGGAAACUAAGAACUCCCCCAUACCUUUUCCUCAAGAGUUCUUUUGCAAGAUACAAAUUUUAAUGAUUGAAUACAGAUUCUGGCAUUUAAAACUGCCAUUCACUGCCACUGAGACACCAUGUUCUCUUAAAUAAAAUUUUACAUGAUAAUUUAGUAUAAAGGCAGCAGCUUCUGGAGGGAUGUUAUUAGGUAGAAGUUUAAAUCCUUGCUUAUCUUAGCUCCCAUCUCAAUACUGGAGAUCUUUUGUAGCAUGUCUAGAGUUUCCAAGGAGCUUGGUUCAUAGAUUUGUGUGUCUUUUCAAUGUAUAUCCAUCCCUUAGUAAAAUCAAAAUUGUCACAAUUGCUCUGUAGUACAGCUUGAGAUCAGGCAUGGUGAUUCCACCAGAGGUUCUUUUAUUGUUGAGAAUAGUUUUUGCUAUCCUAGGUUUUUUGUUAUUCCAGAUGAAUUUGCUAGCCAUUAUGACUAUAACAAUCCUACCAAUCCAUGAGCAUGGGAAAUCUUUCUAUCUUCUGAGAUCUUCUUCAAUUUCCUUCUUCAGAGACUUGAAGUUCUUAUCAUACAGAUCUUUCACUUCCUUAGUUGAUAAAAUAAGGGUAACUAUAAGACAUGGCAGGUAUCUUAGUUAGAUUUUCUUAACUGGGAUAAGACUUCAUGACCAAAUGCAAUUUGAAGAGAAAAGGGUUUUUUGUAGUUCACCAUUUAGGAAAGUCAGGACAGAAACUUAAGACAGAAACCUGGAGGCAAUAUCUCAUGCAGAGGGCCCUGGGGGAAUGCUGCCUAAUGGUUUGCUCAGUCUGCUUUCCUUUAUUCCCUCAAGACCAUCUUCCUAAGCUAUGCCCUCUAACAUCAUUCAGUGUUUUAGGGUUUUACUGCUGUGAACAGACACCAUGACCAAGGCAAUUCUUAAAAGGACAACAUUUAAUUGUGGCUGGCUUACAGGUUCAGGGAUUCAGUCCAUUAUCAUUGAAGCAGGAACAUGGCACCAUCCAGGCGAGGAUGGUGCAGGAGAAGGAUCUGAGAGUUCUACAUCUUCAUCUGAAGGCUAUUAGCAGAAUACUUGCUUCCAGAUGGCUAGAAUGAGGGUCUUAAAAGCCCACACUCAGAGUGACACACCUAUUCCAACAGGCCUCACCUUCUAAUAAUGCCACUCCCUGGACCAAGCAUAUACAAACUAUCAAAAUCACCAGUCAAGAAAAUUCCCCCCACAGUCUUUCCCAAUGGAAGGUCUGUUGGGGUCAUUCUCUCAAUUGAGGUUUCCUCUUCCCAAAACACUCUAGAUUGUGUCAAGUUGUAUCUAUUAUCAAGAUGACUAAACAAGACAGUGAAGAGAACUCAGGUUCCUCGUGUAGCAGUCACCAUGAAAUGAAGUGCUUCGAAAUUUCAGCUAGAAAUGCAACGAUGCUGGGAGCAUUCUCACUCAGAAACCACGCAUACACAUCUGUCCACAUUAAGCUCUCAUUCAAAGCCAGGCAGUGCUUCUCUAUGGAGAAAAUCAUAGAAACUCAGAGUUAGUCCUUGCUGUCUGUGUAUCUUAUGGAAGUAUUUAUCUCCUACCAUAUCACUUAAGGUACACAACAAGCUGAGGGGAGGGGCAAUCUCACAAACCACAGGUGGCAAACACAGAAAACCUACCAUGUUGCUCAGGAUCACUGGCAUGUCCUCACUCUCCAUCAAAGCUCUCAGGAUUUGUACCAUUAGUGUUGGGUUGCAUAUGAUAAUACUCAGUUUGAGGUCUUUAUUCCUAAGCCACUUCUUGCAGCAUUUAACUGUACUUGUGGAUGUUGUACCUGUCAUCCACAAGUGUCCUUCUGUUUUCUGGGUGUCAUCUGAUAUUAGCAUUUAAUACUUUUACACAUUUUAAUAAAUUUCAUCAUAUCCAAAAGGAAUAUGGACUUUAUUAGGAAGAGAUGUGUACUAUUUUUGCUCAUGGCUAUUAAAUAUUCAAAAUGUAUUGAAUGAAAGAAUACAAUAGCUCUUUUUGACUGUCUGCCAAUUUCAUUGAGGCCAAUUUCACUCAUCAGGAACUCGAAGCAUUGAUGUUUGACUUUGCUAGUUGGUUUGCCUUGUCCUAAAUAAAACCUUUAGGUGUAUCUUUUAGUACUUGCUCUCUCUAUAUUAAAACUAGCUACACUAGAUGUUCAAUAUUGUUGAAAACACUUUUAUUAGUUGUGUUGUUUAUAGUCAAUCACAUGAAUUUCUCUUUUGUAUUUGUAAACAUUUUGUUGUUUUUUUUUUCUAGCAAACUGAAAAGUUUACAACUCACCCAACAUUUGUUCUCAUUGAUAAAAUAUGUACGAGUGAACUCAGUUUGUUCUUGAUGAAAGUUUAAAUUCCAUUUAGUGAGAGACAUUCUCAGAUUUCUACCUUAAUCAUUCAAACAACAACAGUCAGAUACUUUUAUAGGUCUUC
ensembl:processed_transcript Gm28262 predicted gene 28262